rnacentral:rRNA from 1 species
GACGAACGCUGGCGGCGUGCCUAAUACAUGCAAGUAGAACGCUGAAGGAGGAGCUUGCUUCUCUGGAUGAGUUGCGAACGGGUGAGUAACGCGUAGGUAACCUGCCUGGUAGCGGGGGAUAACUAUUGGAAACGAUAGCUAAUACCGCAUAAGAGUAGAUGUUGCAUGACAUUUGCUUAAAAGGUGCAAUUGCAUCACUACCAGAUGGACCUGCGUUGUAUUAGCUAGUUGGUGGGGUAACGGCUCACCAAGGCGACGAUACAUAGCCGACCUGAGAGGGUGAUCGGCCACACUGGGACUGAGACACGGCCCAGACUCCUACGGGAGGCAGCAGUAGGGAAUCUUCGGCAAUGGACGGAAGUCUGACCGAGCAACGCCGCGUGAGUGAAGAAGGGUUUCGGAUCGUAAAGCUCUGUUGUAAGAGAAGAACGAGUGUGGGAGUGGAAAGUUCACACUGUGACGGUAUCUUACCAGAAAGGGACGGCUAACUACGUG